AAUCAACGCUGGCGGCGUGCCUCAGACAUGCAAGUCGAACGAUUAAGACUUCCUUCGGGAAGUGCAUAAAGUGGCGCACGGGUGAGUAACACGUAAGUAAUCUACCCUCGAGUGGGGAAUAACGUUCGGAAACGAACGCUAAUACCGCAUAACGCAGCGGCACCGCAAGGUGACAGUUGUUAAAGGAGCAAUCCGCUUGAGGAGGAGCUUGCGGCAGAUUAGCUAGUUGGUAAGGUAAUGGCUUACCAAGGCUACGAUCUGUAUCCGGUCUAAGAGGACGGUCGGACACACUGACACUGAAUAACGGGUCAGACUCCUACGGGAGGCAGCAGUCGGGAAUUUUGGGCAAUGGGCGAAAGCCUGACCCAGCAACGCCGCGUGAAGGAUGAAGUAUUUCGGUAUGUAAACUUCGAAAGAAUGGGAAGAAUAAAUGACGGUACCAUUUAUAAGCUCCGGCUAACUACGUGCCAGCCGCCGCCGUAAUAC
rnacentral:rRNA from 1 species